ACGGCCGCGGUACCCUAACCGCGCAAAGGUAGCAUAAUCACUUGUUCCUUAAAUAGGGACCAGUAUCAACGGCACCACGAGAGUCGCACUGUCUCCUUCCUCUAAUCAGUGAAACUGAUCUUCCCGUGAAGAAGCGGGAAUAAAACUAUAAGACGAGAAGACCCCAUGGAGCUUUAAACCUUCAACAACUUUAUACUAUACUUCCCCAUAAUUAUAAGCCUUGCCUAACGGUUUUAGGUUGGGGCGACCGCGGAGUAAAAACCAACCUCCAUGACGAAAUAGAACUAAAUCUUUAUCCAAGAGCCACCCCUCUAAGAAUUAGAACACUAACGCACACGACCCGAUAAUCGAUCAACGAACCAAGUUACCCUGGGGAUAACAGCGCAAUCUACUUCAAGAGCCCAUAUCGACAAGUAGGCUUACGACCUCGAUGUUGGAUCAGGGUAUCCUAGUGGUGCAGCCGCUACUAAUGGUUCGUUGUCAACGAU
rnacentral:rRNA from 1 species